rnacentral:misc_RNA from 1 species
AAGUCGUAACAAGGUUUCCGUAGGUGAACCUGCGGAAGGAUCAUCAAUAGUCUCAAAGUCUUGUCCAUGUGUGGUGCCACUAGGUGCCGCUCUGGCUUGACAAAUACCUUCUUGUGCACUGUUUGUUGGUUACUGACUGACUGGGGGAGUUGUUGGGAUGUGCUCUGCACAUCUUGCGCCCCCGGCCGGUCGUUUGUUUUACACAAACUCUGUUAAUAUUAAUGUCUUAAGAUCUAGUUGCAAAAAAUUUGUUAAAUAUACACACAACUUACAGCGAUGGAUCUCUAGGCUCUGGU